rnacentral:lncRNA from 1 species
AAGAAGGUUUUAAGGGUAAGUGGGUUUUGUAACUUGUUCAAAGGCUCCCUGGUACUGCUUUGCUUUGCUAACAUGCGCUGGAGGGCUUUAAAAGAGGAAGAGAGAAGUGUUUUGAAAGGAAGAAGAAGUUUCACAGCACUGUAGUUGAAAUGGAAAUAGUUUUUGUGGCUCUCAUGCUGUCCCAGCAGUGCAGAACUGCAGCAGUGUCCUGGAGAUGGAGCUCUGCCUGUGUGUGAGAUAUGAAAAACCUGAGCAAACCUGAGGUAGCUUAAAAUCACAUGAAAACCCACGGACUGUGGAGAUGGAUAGCAGGGAGGAAAUUGCAAACAGACCUCAUCAUUUCCACCACGAGGAGGAAAUGCCAGUGCCUGCCAUCCUUGAAAGAGAUUUUCAGAGUGCUCAGGGCCAGACCUUGUGUUCAGGCUUGUGUGCCAGCUCUGUUGAGUGUCACCUCUAAGGUUUUUAUUCUCUUAUAUGGCCUGAACUGCUUUUUAAGGGCUCUCUGUUUCUUUCUGCAGCUCCUGUGUUUGAAGAUGAAUUUCCCUCUGACAGGCCCAGCCGACCUCCUCAGGUGCCAGGAAUUGUUUUCCUGGUGGUUCUGGUCAAGCCUGUCACUCUUCUUGAGGUUCUCCUUAUUCUAGAGGAUGUACACUCAGUUCCAAAACCGUGUGAUCCAUCCCAAAAUCAAACCACCAGGUCCUCACAGGGUUGAUGGCAGAUUUUUGCAGUGGCAGUGACCAACAUCAUCUUUCUGGUUUGGACUCAGAGCACACACAUUUUCAGAAGGAUAUUCCAGAGCUAAGAGAAAACGUGCCUGUUUCCACAGGGAUGGAUUCCCAGUACAAUAAUAUUUUCUUUGAUGAUCUUUCGGACUUGCUUCUUUAGUACAUAAUCCUGACAUAAUUCUCAAUUCAUAUGCUGUGCAUUAGUUGCUGGAGAAGGAUGGAUCUUGUGGCAGAAGUUUUACAGAGACUUCUGUGAGCCAUUGAGAAGUUUGACAUGAGGAUCCAUGUUUACCCCUGAAAGAAUUUUCUACCAAGGACUUGAACACAGAAACCAAGAAAGAAAGGAUAAAUAAGAGAAACCUGCAUCUGCCUAUUCCAAUAAACACUUUAGUCUUUAGUGAUCA